rnacentral:rRNA from 1 species
UACGUAGGGGGCAAGCGUUGUCCGGAUUCAUUGGGCGUAAAGAGCUCGUAGGCGGCUUGGCAAGUCGGGUGUGAAACCUCCAGGCUCAACCUGGAGACGCCACCCGAUACUGCCAUGGCUAGAGUCCGGUAGGGGACCACGGAAUUCCUGGUGUAGCGGUGAAAUGCGCAGAUAUCAGGAGGAACACCAAUGGCGAAGGCAGCUCGCUGGGACGGUACUGACGCUGAGACGCGAAAGCGUGGGGAGCAAACAGG